rnacentral:rRNA from 1 species
UCGAGCGGUAGCACAGAGAGCUUGCUCUCGGGUGACGAGCGGCGGACGGGUGAGUAAUGUCUGGGAAACUGCCUGAUGGAGGGGGAUAACUACUGGAAACGGUAGCUAAUACCGCAUAACGUCGCAAGACCAAAGUGGGGGACCUUCGGGCCUCAUGCCAUCAGAUGUGCCCAGAUGGGAUUAGCUAGUAGGUGGGGUAAUGGCUCACCUAGGCGACGAUCCCUAGCUGGUCUGAGAGGAUGACCAGCCACACUGGAACUGAGACACGGUCCAGACUCCUACGGGAGGCAGCAGUGGGGAAUAUUGCACAAUGGGCGCAAGCCUGAUGCAGCCAUGCCGCGUGUAUGAAGAAGGCCUUCGGGUUGUAAAGUACUUUCAGCGAGGAGGAAGGCAUUAAGGUUAAUAACCUUGGUGAUUGACGUUACUCGCAGAAGAAGCACCGGCUAACUCCGUGCCAGCAGCCGCGGUAAUACGGAGGGUGCAAGCGUUAAUCGGAAUUACUGGGCGUAAAGCGCACGCAGGCGGUCUGUCAAGUCGGAUGUGAAAUCCCCGGGCUCAACCUGGGAACUGCAUUCGAAACUGGCAGGCUAGAGUCUUGUAGAGGGGGGUAGAAUUCCAGGUGUAGCGGUGAAAUGCGUAGAGAUCUGGAGGAAUACCGGUGGCGAAGGCGGCCCCCUGGACAAAGACUGACGCUCAGGUGCGAAAGCGUGGGGAGCAAACAGGAUUAGAUACCCUGGUAGUCCACGCCGUAAACGAUGUCGACUUGGAGGUUGUGCCCUUGAGGCGUGGCUUCCGGAGCUAACGCGUUAAGUCGACCGCCUGGGGAGUACGGCCGCAAGGUUAAAACUCAAAUGAAUUGACGGGGGCCCGCACAAGCGGUGGAGCAUGUGGUUUAAUUCGAUGCAACGCGAAGAACCUUACCUACUCUUGACAUCCAGAGAACUUAGCAGAGAUGCUUUGGUGCCUUCGGGAACUCUGAGACAGGUGCUGCAUGGCUGUCGUCAGCUCGUGUUGUGAAAUGUUGGGUUAAGUCCCGCAACGAGCGCAACCCUUAUCCUUUGUUGCCAGCGGUUAGGCCGGGAACUCAAAGGAGACUGCCAGUGAUAAACUGGAGGAAGGUGGGGAUGACGUCAAGUCAUCAUGGCCCUUACGAGUAGGGCUACACACGUGCUACAAUGGCAUAUACAAAGAGAAGCGACCUCGCGAGAGCAAGCGGACCUCAUAAAGUAUGUCGUAGUCCGGAUUGGAGUCUGCAACUCGACUCCAUGAAGUCGGAAUCGCUAGUAAUCGUAGAUCAGAAUGCUACGGUGAAUACGUUCCCGGGCCUUGUACACACCGCCCGUCACACCAUGGGAGUGGGUUGCAAAAGAAGUAGGUAGCUUAACCUUCGGG